GGGGAAUUUUGGACAAUGGGGGCAACCCUGAUCCAGCCAUCCCGCGUGUGCGAUGAAGGCCUUCGGGUUGUAAAGCACUUUUGGCAGGGAAGAAACGGCGCGGGCUAAUAACCUGCGCAACUGACGGUACCUGCAGAAUAAGCACCGGCUAACUACGUGCCAGCAGCCGCGGUAAUACGUAGGGUGCAAGCGUUAAUCGGAAUUACUGGGCGUAAAGCGUGCGCAGGCGGUUUGGAAAGAAAGAUGUGAAAUCCCAGAGCUUAACUUUGGAACUGCAUUUUUAACUGCCAAGCUAGAGUAUGUCAGAGGGGGGUAGAAUUCCACGUGUAGCAGUGAAAUGCGUAGAGAUGUGGAGGAAUACCGAUGGCGAAGGCAGCCCCCUGGGAUAAUACUGACGCUCAUGCACGAAAGCGUGGGGAGCAAAC
rnacentral:rRNA from 1 species